rnacentral:rRNA from 1 species
UACGAAGGGGGCUAGCGUUGUUCGGAUUUACUGGGCGUAAAGCGCACGUAGGCGGAUUGCUAAGUCAGGGGUGAAAUCCUGGAGCUCAACUCCAGAACUGCCUUUGAUACUGGCGAUCUUGAGUCCGGGAGAGGUGAGUGGAACUGCGAGUGUAGAGGUGAAAUUCGUAGAUAUUCGCAAGAACACCAGUGGCGAAGGCGGCUCACUGGCCCGGUACUGACGCUGAGGUGCGAAAGCGUGGGGAGCAAACAGG